UGAGGAAUAUUGCGCAAUGGGCGAAAGCCUGACGCAGCAACGCCGCGUGGGGGAUGAAGGUGGUUUCCAUUGUAAACCCCUGUAGGGAGGGACGAACAAGCUGGUUUUGCCGGCUUUGACGGUACCUCCAAAGUAAGCACCGGCUAACUCCGUGCCAGCAGCCGCGGUAAUACGGAGGGUGCAAGCGUUGUCCGGAUUUACUGGGUGUAAAGGGCGUGUAGGCGGAGAGAUUUGUCGGAAGUGAAAUCGUGCGGCUUAACCGUAGCAAUUGCUUCCGAAACGGUCUCCCUUGAGUGCGAGAGGGGCAGAUGGAAUUCCAGGUGUAGCGGUGGAAUGCGUAGAUAUCUGGAAGAACACCAGUGGCGAAGGCGGUCUGCUGGCUCGUAACUGACGCUGAGGCGCGAAAGUGUGGGGAGCAAACAGG
rnacentral:rRNA from 1 species